GACGAACGCUGGCGGCGUGCUUAACACAUGCAAGUCGAACGGAAAGGCCCUUCGGGGUACUCGAGUGGCGAACGGGUGAGUAACACGUGGGUGAUCUGCCCUGCACUUUGGGAUAAGCCUGGGAAACUGGGUCUAAUACCGAAUACACCUCAUUGGAUGCAUGUCUGGUGGGGGAAAGCUUUUGCGGUGUGGGAUGGGCCCGCGGCCUAUCAGCUUGUUGGUGGGGUGAUGGCCUACCAAGGCGACGACGGGUAGCCGGCCUGAGAGGGUGUCCGGCCACACUGGGACUGAGAUACGGCCCAGACUCCUACGGGAGGCAGCAGUGGGGAAUAUUGCACAAUGGGCGCAAGCCUGAUGCAGCGACGCCGCGUGGGGGAUGACGGCCUUCGGGUUGUAAACCCCUUUCAGUAGGGACGAAGCGCAAGUGACGGUACCUACAGAAGAAGGACCGGCCAACUACGUGC
rnacentral:rRNA from 1 species